UUGGGCAUCUGUAUUCAGAAC
ensembl:piRNA 21ur-88 ncRNA